rnacentral:rRNA from 1 species
GUGUCAGCCGCCGCGGUAAAACGUAGGAGGCGAGCGUUAUCCGGAUUUACUGGGUGUAAAGCGCGUGCAGGCGGCUCGUUAAGUUGGGUGUGAAAGCUCCUGGCUCAACCGGGAGAGGUCGCUCAAGACUGGCGGGCUGGAGAGUGGUAGAGGAAGGUGGAAUUCCGGGUGUAGUGGUGAAAUGCGUAGAUAUCCGGAGGAACACCAGUGGCGAAAGCGGCCUUCUGGGCCACAUCUGACGCUCAGACGCGAAAGCUAGGGUAGCAAACGGGAUUAGAAACCCCCGUAGUCC